rnacentral:rRNA from 1 species
UACGAAGGGUGCAAGCGUUACUCGGAAUUACUGGGCGUAAAGCGUGCGUAGGUGGUUGUUUAAGUCUGUUGUGAAAGCCCUGGGCUCAACCUGGGAAUUGCAGUGGAUACUGGGCAACUAGAGUGUGGUAGAGGGUAGUGGAAUUCCCGGUGUAGCAGUGAAAUGCGUAGAGAUCGGGAGGAACAUCCAUGGCGAAGGCAGCUACCUGGACCAACACUGACACUGAGGCACGAAGCGUGGGGGAAACAGGAUUAGAUACCCGCGUAGUCC